GGUUGAGGCGCCGCCUUGUGAUCUUCAUGCGUUUUGUGGAGCCGUGGUAGAUUUCCUCCAGGGACACCCUCAGCUCAUGCACCACAGGCCACGUGUUGGAAUGACAAAGGAGCCCCAUGGCAUGGCACUGCCUUUGAUGGAGAAGAAUGAAGAGGAUGUUAAUGUAGAGGCAGGAAGGAAGAAUGAGAAAUGGUAUGAGUGCCCUUCUCCAGAGGGACUUACCGAAACUUUACAAACCCAUUCAGCG